rnacentral:rRNA from 1 species
AACGAACGCUGGCGGCAUGCCUAACACAUGCAAGUCGAACGAGACCUUCGGGUCUAGUGGCGCACGGGUGCGUAACGCGUGGGAACCUGCCCUUAGGUUCGGAAUAACUCCCCGAAAGGGGUGCUAAUACCGGAUAAUGUCUUCGGACCAAAGAUUUAUCGCCUUUGGAUGGUCCCGCGUUGGAUUAGCUAGUUGGUAGGGUAAAAGCCUACCAAGGCGACGAUCCAUAGCUGGUCUGAGAGGAUGAUCAGCCACACUGGGACUGAGACACGGCCCAGACUCCUACGGGAGGCAGCAGUGGGGAAUAUUGGACAAUGGGCGAAAGCCUGAUCCAGCAAUGCCGCGUGAGUGAUGAAGGCCUUAGGGUUGUAAAGCUCUUUUACCCGGGAUGAUAAUGACGGUACCGGGAGAAUAAGCUCCGGCUAACUCCGUG